GUAAAUCUCCAGAUAAAGCCUGAAGCUUAACUCCAGAAAGUCUGAAGAGACUGCAAGACUUGAGAUCGGGUGAGGUUAAACGUACUUUCAGGGUAGGGGUAAAAUCCUGUAAUCCCGGAAGGACGACCAGUGGCGAAAGCGUUUAACUAGAACGAAUCUGACGGUAAGGAACGAAGGCUAGGGUAGCAAACCGGAUUAGAUACCCGGGUAGUCCCAGCUGUAAACAUUGCCCAUUUGAUGUUGCUUUCCCGUUGAGGGAAGGCAGUGUCGGAGCGAAGGUGUUAAAUGGGCCGCUUGGGAAGUAUGGUCGCAAGACUGAAACUUAAAGGAAUUGGCGGGGGAGCACCGCAACGGGAGGAAUGUGCGGUUUAAUUGGAUUCAACGCCGGAAAACUCACCGGGAACGACCUGUGCAUGAGAGUCAACUUGACGAGCUUACUCGAUAGCAGGAGAGGUGGUGCAUGGCCGUCGUCAGCUCGUACCGUAGGGCGUUCACUUAAGUGUGAUAACGAGCGAGACCCACAUCUUUAAUUGCAAAUGUAUAUGGGAAUAUGCAUGCACUUUAGAGAAACCGCCAGCGCUAAGCUGGAGGAAGGAGUGGUCGACGGCAGGUCAGUACGCCCCGAAUUUCCCGGGCUACACGCGCAUUACAAAGAACGGGACAAUACGUUGCAACCUCGAAUGAGGGAGCCAAUCGCGAAACCCGUCCAUAGUUAGGAUUGAGGGCUGUAACUCGCC
rnacentral:rRNA from 1 species